GAUUCUUGUUUUUGGCCAUGGUGAAGGUGGUGGCGAUCUUUAGUGCUGCUACUGUUGAUGUUUUCUUGGUUAUUGCUUUGUGAAUCCAUCAAAACCAUAUGGGUUUCAACUUUCAACAAAAGUUCUUUCUUCUUCUCCUUCCUCCUUCAGAGACCAAAGUUUUUCAAAAUUUGAUCCAAACCAAUUUUGUUUUCCACCUCAUAUUUCCUUGUUCUUCAAGUCAGUCCACAGAAAGGAAUUAAUAAAGAAAAAAAACUGCAUAUAUAAAAAAGUUAAGAUGGGAAUAGAAUUAAAAAAGGAAAAAUUAAAAGACCCUGGUGGAUUUAUUUUGCUGCAUAGUCCUCCUGUGAUCCUCACUGCACCACUGGUAGUGCGCGGGGAUCUUCUAGGUCUGUUCUUUUUUUCUUCCUUGUGAUUGACUGCUGUCCCCCUAGUCUUU
rnacentral:misc_RNA from 1 species